rnacentral:rRNA from 1 species
CACGUAGGGGGCAAGCGUUGUCCGGAUUUAUUGGGCGUAAAGAGCUCGUAGGUGGUUCGGUAAGUCGGGUGUUAAACCCCCAGGCUCAACCUGGGGACGCCACUCGAUACUGCUGUGACUAGAGUCCGGUAGGGGAGCGUGGAAUUCCUGGUGUAGCGGUGAAAUGCGCAGAUAUCAGGAGGAACACCAGCGGCGAAGGCGGCGCUCUGGGCCGACACUGACGCUGAGGCGCGAAAGCCAGGGGAGCGAACGGG